AAUACCUCUGUGCGUUGUGCCACCAAUGCAACUAUUAAUACCGUGCCUCAUCAGAUUCAAGAUAGAUGAUGAGAACGAGCAAAGACAAAACAAGGCAUCCACCAGUUCAAGCUGUUCUGGAAGAUCAACCUACUGUGGCAAGAUUAUAAGUUUCUACAAGGCACCCGUAGUGAAGUUCGU